AUUGAACGCUGGCGGCAGGCCUAACACAUGCAAGUCGAACGAGUGGCGGACGGGUGAGUAAUGUCUGGGAAACUGCCUGAUGGAGGGGGAUAACUACUGGAAACGGUAGCUAAUAACGCAUACCAUCGGAUGUGCACAGAUGGGAUUAGCUAGUAGGUGGGGUAACGGCUCACCUAGGCGACGAGCCCUAGCUGGUCUGAGAGGAUGACAAGCCACACUGGAACUGAUACACGGUCCAUACUCCUACGGUAGGCAGCAGUGGGGAAUAUUGCACAAUGGGCGCAAGCCUGAUGCAGCCAUGCCGCGUGUAUGAAGAAGGCCUUCGGGUUGUAAAGUACUUUCAGCGAGGAGGCGUUACUCGCAGAAGAAGCACCGGCUAACUCCGUGCCAGCAGCCGCGGUAAUUC
rnacentral:rRNA from 1 species